AGAUGAGCCUAGGUCGGAGUAGCUAGUUGGUGAGGUAAGGGCGCACCAAGGCGACGAUCGACAACUGGGCGGAAAGGAUGAUCAGUCACACUGGAACUGACCCUGGAUCAACCUUUCAACGGGAGGCAGCAGUGGGGAAUAUUGGAUAAUGGGCGAAAGCCUGAUCCAGCCAUGCCGCGUGUGUGAAGAAGGUCUUCGGAUUGUAAAGCACUUUAAGUUGGGAGGAAGGGCAGUAAGUUAAUACCUUGCUGUUUUGACGUUACCGACAGAAUAAGCACCGGCUAACUCUGUGCCAGCAGCCGCGGUAAUACAGAGGGUGCAAGCGUUAAUCGGAAUUACUGGGCGUAA
rnacentral:rRNA from 1 species